AUAUUACGUCGUGGAUAUUUCCUACGGCGUCAAACGUUUUGCCCAGUCUGUUUUUUUUUUCUUCUAGCGAGCUGAAAGAAAGCUGAAAGAAUGUAGGACGUUGAAACCUAUAUUGAUUCAGAACUUUUCACCCGUAACCAAGCCCCACUCAUUCACUUAGCGUUCGCAUAACAACACUCGGAUUCGUCCUUUGCGUCACUCAUGGAUGUCGGCCGAACUCGUGCUUCCGUCGGUAGCUGGCGCUUUGUCUAUUUUUGGAACAACACCAAUACAGCCCAAAGUACACACCUCUUUUCACCAAACCAGCCUGCGGUGUGCAUGCAUGCUCAAAAGCGAAAAAGAUCGUCGAUAGUCGGGUCGUAGAUGAAUGGAAUAGGUGGAAGUUCAAUGGCAAAGAACGGAUGGUUUGAAGGCCACCACGGGUGAAGUGGCGGCCGGGAAUGGUGGGUCAUGGACGACUACG